rnacentral:tRNA from 1 species
UGCGGGAUGGUGUAAUGGUAGCACAAGCGCCUCUGGAGCGUUUAGCCUAGGUUCGAGUCCUAGUCCCGCAG